GACUGGGAAGCCGCUGGGGCCCAGAGCAGUUCCCCGGACUGGCCGGAGCUUCCCCUCACUCGAUACUGGGAGGGCCCGCCGGAGCUUCCCCGCGCCACAUACGAGGAGGAGCCGCCAGAGACUUCCUCACUCCCGUGUUGUUACCCCGAGGAACCCCCGGAGCAGAUUUGGCUGGACUUCCCCGAGGAACUGCCGGAUCUAGCCCCCAGCCCAGGCUGCGAGGAGCCCAUGCUGUGGGACUUCCCGGGAGCAGAUGCCAUGGACCAGGUGUAUAAACUACUACCCCUCUGCCCAAGUUGCAUCUCAUCAAUAACAUAUUGGAGUUCUGAUUGAACAAACACCACCCAGGGCCCAUUCAUCAUCAUGUCAGGACUCUUUCCUCCACCCACCAGCUAUGGCUUCAUAGAGAGACUCCAUUGUCAAGUGUACUUCAAAAAACAGAUGCUGGUACUGUCCCCCCAGAGAAUAAAUGCUGCAGUGAGAAGCCUGAAGUGACAGGAGGAAACAAAGACAAGAGGGUGAGGCUAUCACAUUUAGAAACAGGGAAUAGUACCUGGAAACCAUAUAAAGUAUCAGUGAGACUUAGAAAAUCCAGUUUAGCUGGUGCUCAGCCCAAGUAGAGCAAUGAUACUCCCUGGUCACCCACAACCAAAAAUGUCUUCAAAGCACAAGCGUUGCUCAAAAGUUGCUUUGAAAAUUCCCCCUUAUUUUCUAAGCAUUAAAAAGUGGACAACCCGUUCCACUGCAGAGCACACAGUACCUUUGAAAAUUCCCCUCUA